GUCGUAACAAGGUCUCCGUAGGUGAACCUGCGG
rnacentral:rRNA from 1 species